AGAUUAUGGAAAACUCCAAGUACUGAUGGCCUUUGGAAGCAGUGAGGAGCCAUUGAGUUUGGCUUUGCUGCCAAGUAGCAGACAUGAGAAGCUCGGGGCAGGCAAAUGUCAGCCCCCGAGGGCACAGCCACAGCCGACAAGCUAUUUAUUGCAGGAAUCCUGGCUGUCAGUUCUGAUCCCUGUUGACAAUCAGAGGAAUUCACUCGUUCUGCAAAUAUUUUCUGAGUUCUGCGUCGCUGCAAGAGGCCCAGGCAGCGCUGGCCAAAUGAAAACAAAUCCUGUCUGUCUUCCAUGAGAGGUGGCCUUCAGAUCGCUCUAUUAAAAACACUAAUGAAUCUGUUCAGAA
rnacentral:lncRNA from 1 species